UGGCCGUGUUUGUGCUCGGAAAAGAGUGGCAGUUCAAGGACUGGCCCUUCAAGGGCCAUGUCGACAUCUUCAACAAAGUUAUUGGGUUCUUUGUAUGCUUUGAAGAUGAUAGUGUCGAUUCAGCAAAAGUGGUCAAACAGUGGAAUGUCAAAAUCAUAUCUAUAAGCAAGAAUAAAAGGCAUCAAGACAGACCGGCUGCUCUGGAGGUGUGGGAUCAGCUAGAUGAAUU